rnacentral:rRNA from 1 species
CUUAUAGACCUUCCUGGAGGAGCUUGCUAUCUAACCGAUAACCCACGUUAAACCUUACCAGCCCUUGAACACCAGCCUGUAUACCAUCGUCGUCAGCCUACCCCCCAAGGAAAGUAUACAAAAUGGGCCAAAAUUCCCACUACGCCAGAUCGAGGUGCAGCUUAUGGGCUGGGGAUCAGUGAGCUACAAUGAUAAAACAAUAACACCUAAAAUAAAAUUUUGAAUAAGCCAAAGAAUCUUUGUUUUGAAACUGGAUUCAGCAGUAACAACUAACAGAAAAUAGUUGUGAACCUUUAGCUCUAUAAUGCGC